rnacentral:lncRNA from 1 species
UUUUUUUUUUAUUUCUUUUCUUUCUUUUAUGGCCGCACCUGUGGCAUAUGGAAGUUCCUGGGCUAGGGGUCAAAUCAAAGCUACAGAUACCGACCUACACCAUAGCUCAUGGCAAUGCCAGAUCCUUAACCCACUGAGUGAGGCCAGGGAUUGAACCCAUAUCCUCAUGGAUACAAGUUGGAUUCGGUUCGUAAUGCACUGAGCCACAAUGGGAACUCCCGCACCCAGAAUUUUUAGUGUCUGUUCAUUCAACCCUCAAACUGAUCCUGUGAUAGAAAUAUCUGUCUCAGCUUGGACUCACCCCAGGAGUCCCUGAGACAAGGAUUCAAGUGCAAGCCAUUUAUUGGGGGUGUGAUCCCAGGAAACACCAGUUCGGAUGAGGGAAGAGAAACAAAAAAGGGAUAGAAGCCAACAGCAGAUGUGUUGUGGAGCACGCCAUUCCUGUGAGCAAACGAGGCUCCAUUCUACAGAGCCUACCACUGUUGUCCCCCUGGGAGCCAGGGAGUCAGGGGACUGAAGCUCAGCUCCCACCAGUCAUGGGCUGAGGGCUGCAUCCAGUGCACUGAACUCCCCACUGCACCUGGUCUGAGCCAGGUGUGUACUCAGAUAAAUCCAAAAGCCCUUAGAUAGAUACCCCAGGGGGCUUGCAACAGAUGCCUCCAGGUCAGAGUGGCCAGGGCUGGUCAGUGCCAAGAGAUACAGACAAAGCACCAGCAGCAUCUAUUACAAUACCACUAUUCCUAUUUCUGCAGAUGAGGAAACUGAGACUCAGAAGUGGGACCCACCAAGCCAAGGUUACACAGGUAGAAACUGACGGAGCCUAUAUGUAAAUGAAGUCCGUUUGCCUCUAAAAUCUAGGUUUUCACUUUGUAGUGCAGUCUUCCGAAUCUAGCUUUCCUCUUCUACCCUCCUUCCCCUCAUCCUGGAGACAUAAAACAAGGUCAGGCCUGUCUGCUGACAGUGUUCCCUCUCCCUAAACCUGCCUCUCAGACUGACUCUCAAACUGACUCUUUCAAGCAGGUUUCCUGAGAUAAAGGCUUGAUGAGAGAUCUGCCUGCUGACAGAGUCUGGAACUAAGCAGGGCACCCUUCCUCAGCAGCAUCCAUUCCUCCUUUAAUUCAUUUGAUAACCUUGUGAAGUGCAGACCUGCAGGGUUUCAGAGAGUUGUCAAUUCUCCAUCCUGAUGCCAAGGCUCUGCUGCGAGGUUGGUGCUGUGUUUUUGCUUUUGCAAACCAGUGCUUAGCAUUUAUCACUGGUUGGAGGAUUGAAUUUGGCAAGAAAGAUUUCUUGUGCGUUUGGAGGAUUCAUUUACCAAGCACCUCCCCCGGCAGAAAUGCUAAAGGACAGUAGUCAAGUGUGCGUGUUGGGGGGGGGCAACCUGGCAACCAUGAGCCAAAUCCUCUAGUAGGUGGUUCUCUAAACCUGAGAAGAAAGGCAUUUUUCUCUGCUUCCACACCCCAGAACACACUGUCUCCUCCCUCCCCACCCCAGUUAGCACUGUCCCAUCAGGGUCCAGCCCAGGAGGGAAGCUGGGGGUCGAAGCAAUGAUGGGGUGGUCAAAGGGAAAGGGGAAGGGACUGGGGCCAGGUGUGUCCCCUAGGAUGGAGCACAGACUUAGCCUGGCUCCCAGUAUGGCAGUAGGUAAGGAUGGCCAUGCAAUAAGCAUUGAGUAGGGCCAGCUAGCGGUAAUGGGCAAGAGGGUGACCAGAAGUCUCAGAUAGGGAAAGAAGCAGAGAGAGCUAGCAGACAGACAGACAGACAUAAUAGCCAUUCUCUUUAAAAGGAGCCAGACAUAGCUUAUACUGUCCUCAAGAGGCAAUUAUUUUAAAAAGUCUACAAAUAGUUGUUAAACACAGCCAUUAGUAAAAAUCAAAUUAUAUAUCUACAGUUAAAUAAUUACAUUAAGAACAAAGGUAAAAAGUAAUCACAACAUAUUACUUCCUAAUUACAUCUUACUAUUAUCUAUGUUGUUGAAUUUAUUUGUAUCAAUUGUAUCAGUAUGAUGGAAAUUAUUUAUCAUAGUGGCUGCUGUAUUUCUUCUGAAAUUAACCAUGUUGGUGAUAUUUAAACCAUGGAAUUUGGCAAACUAAAAAUUCUUUUCCUGGAAAGCUUGUGUGUAACAGGCUUUACCAGCAUACCGCUGGUAUUUGCUACCUUAUAUCAAGCACCUCCUCCCUACAUGGCACCAGGCUAGACACCUCACAUUUGUUACAUGACAACCUGGGCAGCGCAUAUGAGUUGUGAAAAUAUAGAAUCACUUUCAUUUUGGUUGGUAAACAGCUGCUAUCCCUAGGCCCCUGUGUGUCUUCCUUCCUUCCUAGCCACCAGCCCCUCCCCCAUUGCUACUAAAGGUUAGUGCCUGAGCCUGUUCUAGCCGUCAGCCAGUGUUCAUGUAAGAGUGGGGUGAAGCCUCUGCUCAAGUUAGCAUACAGGGCCCUGCACUCAGAGGGGCAAGGGAGGGACCCAGCUAAUAAAUCAGUGGGGCCUGUCUCAUGAACAAGACAAACCCUAGUUAUUAGAAUUGCACAGCACACCAGAGAGGGCCUAGUUGCAAGGGUAUUCUGUGGGUGAAAAGAGAGAGCUCCAGCCUAGAACUCUUGAGGUCUCAAGACAGGACUUGCCUAUGAGGCCAGAGGGGUUCAAGAGGCCUCACAGCUGAGCCACUAGACACUCCUCCUCCCCUCCUCUUCCCUCCUCACCCCUCCUCUCUCGUCCUCUUCCCUUUGAUGCCCAGUCUGAGUUCUUGAACUGUAAAGUAUUAAACAACAUGACUUCCCUCAGGAAGCUUACACUCUGAGCUAAGGAGAAGCUGCACAUCUAUAUGAACAAUGUAAAUACUAAAUAUUUGAUUAACACAACAAGGGUGAGGUCACAAAGCAGGUGUCAUGGCUGAGAGACAAUAGGAAAGCUUCCAGAAACCAAGGGCCAGAUGCCCUUAUAUGUUAGACAUGGCAUCUCUGGGCUGACACAAAGCUUUUCCUUUGACUUCAAUUGUCAGACAUAAUGUGUACCACUGCCAGACUGAAUCGUCAAGUUAGCAGUUUUCUGAAGGAAAAAUGCUGCUGCAUUAAACACACGCAACAAUUAUAAGAGCCAUCCUGAUUUCAGAAGUGCAAACUGUAGGACAGAAAAACAUAUCUUCGUGCUCCAAGGUCAUUAGGACAAAGGAUAGAGCAAAGGAAUCUCAUUCAGUCAUUCCACAGAUAUUUACUGAGAGCCCAGUGCUGGGGAUACAUGCAGAGCAAUAAAUGCAGAGCUGCUCCCUGCUCCAUCAGAGCUCCCAGCCAAGUGGAGGAGACAAGCAUAACACCAGUAAAACAAGCAACUAAAAAUGCACUUAUAAACAGAAAUACACAUCCAUUUUGAGCUAAUUCUUGUAAAUGGUGCAAGUAAUGGGUCAAAAUUCAUUUUUUUGCACAUAGAUAUUCAAUUGUACCAGUGCCACUUGUUAAAGACUAUCCUUUCCACUGAAUUGUCUUUACACCUUCAUCACAAAUCAGUGUCCAUAUAUGUGUUGGACUAUUUUUGCACUCCAUUGACCUAUUCUUCAGUCUUGAUGCCAAUAUGACACUGUGUCAAUUACUAUAGCUUAAAAUCAGGUAGGGUUAGUCCUCCAACUUUGUUCAUUUUCAAAAUUGUUUUGUUUAUCCUAAGCCCUUUUCAUUUCCAUAUGAACUGUAGAAUCAGCUUGCCAAUUUCUACAAUUUCCAUGUUGCUGCCCACCCCCUCUUGGUACUUGGAGCAUUUGACAAGAAAACAGAUAGGGAAACUCUGAGCUGAGGUUGGUGCCGCAACACUGAACAAAGCAAGGCUCAGAAGACUGAACUGAACUGAAGGAAUGCUCUCCCCAUCUCCAAGAUGGAACAAGGGUGGGUUUGUGUUUCAAAUAAAGCAUCCCAGGGUCAAAGGUGAUGGAUGCAUGAGCCCUCCACAGCCUGUCCCCUUCUUUCAGGCACAGAGCAUUGCCUCUUGUUCCUCCAUUAGAACAUUCUCUCUUCUGCUCUGGUCUUUCCUGGUUGUUUGCUGUGGUUCCUGGCCCUGAGAAGCUCCUGGGCUGUAUGCUUCUGCAUCUGGGUAGCCAGAGUCCAGAACAGAAAAUAAAAAGGGGUGGGGGGGGGCUCGGUAGAUGCCAGGAGAAAAGAUAGAAAGAAAAGGAAAUGGGUGUGCACACUGGGAAAUCCAAAGGAAUAAUGAUUGUGAGGCAUUGCUUUAACAGCUUUAAAGGUUGGUUGAGGAGUGUUCUAUAAAUAAUAACUCCUACAUAAAACAUACUAUGCUCUGUGCUAAACUUUGCUCUCCAUGAAUUUUCUUUCAGUCCUCUGAAACUUCCCAUGAGAGAGAAAUAUAAUUACACCCAUUUUCCAGAUGAAUGGAGGCCUAGAGAGGUUGAAAAACUUGCCCAAGUCAUUGCUUGCAGGUAGCAGAGCCAGAACAAGAAUCCAGAUCUGCCUGGUUCCAAAGUCCACACCUUAGACUGAACCCCAAGAUGAUUCUGCCUUUAGGGAUGGGGAACAAAAAAAAAGGCUCAUAAAUGUGUGCAAUCAGAUGAGCAUGAUUUAAUGAGCUGCUACUAUGAGCCAGGAUUGUACCCAGGACCAUCUGACACAGCCAUAUGUGACACAACACACAGGGAAGGUGACUGACUCUAGCCAACUUAGGAACCCAUACACUAACCAGAGAGGGGAGGCCUUCAGUGGUGUAUAUGAAACAGGAAGGAAAGACCUGGGGGUGCUGGUCUCUUUGGGAAGAGGGUCAUCUGAGAAUCUUCACCCCUGGAGCCUUCUUGAACUGGCUCAAACACAAAGAGGAUUCAUGGUAUCAAGCACCCAAGAUGAUGUGGCUUAGGGCACCAUGUGAGUCAUUCUCAGCAGGUUCUUUCCAGGUGGCAGCCACACCGCCAGGGUUCAUUUCCUCUGCUCAGAAACCUCUCUUAAAGACGUCCAGCAAAAAUCCCAAGUCAGAUUCUUCUUGUUUCAAGAUGCUAGAAUCAAUCUGUGAGAAUCUACUGAACCAGUUCUGAGUUCCACGUCACUCCUGAGUCGGAGGAUGGGAGCCAGUUCAGUCAAACUGUCCUGCAGGAGAGUGACAGAUCCCCGAAAGAAGACAGAGGCAUCACUGCCCAAAGACGGUCAGCAGAGCAGGCAGAACAACAGAUAUGUACUCUGACUUCCCCCCAACUCAGUCCAGGGCAGAAGUCCAGCCCUGCCCAGCCCACAAGCAUCAGCCCAGUGUUUGCCCUGCUGGGCUCUCCUGGAAUUGAUCUUCACAAACUCAGAAACACAUGUCUGCAUCCAGCUACUGGAUCCUCCUUCCUGGUCCUCUUACAGCCAACAAAGCCCAAGUUCUGGCACCUAUAACCUUCAGAAGGCAUGGGCUUCUUUCUGCUUUAGCAAUGAUUCUAUUCUAGCUUUAUACACCCUUGGUCUCCAUGCACAGAAUGCAUGUUCUCUUCCCAGACCUGGGCCUGUAAUGUGAUAUAUCCCACUAGGGAUAAUGAUAAGGGCAUUUGGAAUUAGAAACAUCCCCAACACCUAGGUUGCAUGAUUGUUGUGCCUACUGUCCUCCACCCACCAGCCUGUGGAGGAGGCCAGGAUGCAAUGCUUGGGUUGGCAGUGCUUUACACUUCACCAGGUGUCCUUGCAGAAUCAUGCCUUGUCUCAGGUCCCAACAGGCCUGAGGGGCUUCCCCAAAAGCUACUGUUGGCCCCUAUUAACUGGAGAGUGUAACACAAAACAGAUGAACCUGGGUCAACCUCCAGAAUAUCUGGGAUAAGUGACCAGGCCCCAAACUCCUGGGUCUUCUCUGGCCCACCACUGGCCAGCCUCUGGGACAAAGGAACCUCAAACAGGGUGAGGCAGACCUCUCCCUCCCAUGGAGAAAAGAGUGUGCGAGAUGUUUCACAUGCUGCAGCAACAGCCACC